UGGUGAUGGUGAUGAUGGUGGUGAUGGUGAUGAUGGUGGUGAUGGUGAUGAUGGUGGUGAUGGUGAUGGUGGUGAUGGUGAUGAUGGUGGUGAUGGUGAUGAUGGUGAUGGUGAUGAUGGUGGUGAUGGUGAUGAUGAUGAUGAUGGUGGUGGUGAUGAUGAUGGUGGUGAUGAUGAUGGUGGUGAUGAUGAUGGUGAUGAUGGUGAUGAUGGUG